rnacentral:ncRNA from 2 species
GGUGGUAUGUCCCAUCCAAGGCUAAAUAACGUGAGGAGACCGAUAGAUUACAAGUAGUGUGAACGAAAGAUGAAAAGAACUCUAAAACAGAGGGUGAAAAGUUCCUGAACUUGCUUAGGGUUAAGGCUAUUUAUAGUACCCGUCUUGAAACACGGAUUAGGGAGUUUAUCUGUAGUGCGAGUCUUUGCACGUUAACUGUAAAGGCGUAGAGAAAGCAACUGGCGUUUGCAUGGCUACUGAGCAUUACUGAUAGGACCCGAAAGGUGGUGAACUUUGCCUGCACAGGUUGAAGUCAGGGGAAACUCUGAUGGAGGACCGUACGGGUUAUUGAUGUGCAAAUCAUUUUUCUGAUGUAGGUAAAGGUGCGAAAGACUCAUCGAACCACCUAAUAGCUGGUUUCCUCCGAAGUUUCCCUCAGGAUAGCUGUAAUGCAUUUAGUUAAGGGGAGUAGAGAUAUGGGUAGAGGUGCAGGGAGCCUUCGGGUUCUCAACUUAUUUCCAAACUUCGAACCUCCUUGUUAGGCAUUUACCUAACUGGAAAUGCUUAAAUGAAUUAGCGUUACAAGUGGGCUCUGACCGGUAAGCGGUCAUGGCGAAAUGGGAUGAACCAUACGUCUGAAUAAGGUGCCGAAAUGUACUAUCACUGAUACCAUAAAGGGAGUCCAUGUAUUUAGACAGCAGGUCGGUGCCCCUAAAAGCAGGUAUCCGCUAAAGAGUGUGUUAAAACUCACCUGCCGAAUACUAGGGCCCCGAAAAUGAAUGGCGCAUAUAGUACUACCGAUCUCAGACAUCAGUUCUAUUGAACUGAGAGUAGGGGGAUGUGGACAUUUUUGUGAAGGUGCAAUGUGAGUUGGACUGGAAGAAUGUCUAUUACAGAUCCUAAUUGAAGUAGCGAUUAUCCAGGCUUGUAUCCUGGGGGCUGAUGAGGAGUAGGGUUUCUGGACAACUUAACAGAUCCAGAGUUAGUCGAUCCUAAUCUCAAUAAUGGG